AUACGGAGGGUGCAAGCGUUAUUCGGAAUCACUGGGCGUAAAGGACGCGUAGGCGGGUUGGCAAGUCAGAUGUGAAAUCCUACAGCUUAACUGUAGAACUGCAUUUGAAACUGCUAACCUAGAGUAUGGGAGGGGGAGAUGGAAUUAGUGGUGUAGGGGUAAAAUCCGUAGAUAUCACUAGGAAUACCGAAAGCGAAGGCGAUCUCCUGGAACAUAACCGACGCUAAGGCGUGAAAGCGUGGGGAGCAAACAGGAUUAGAAACCCUAGUAGUCC
rnacentral:rRNA from 1 species